CCAAAACCAUCCCUCCAAAAGAUUCGUCCCCCCUUUGCCCUUCUUAAAACCCUAUUGCUCAGAAAUAAAAUCUAGAAAAAAGUAUUAAAGGAAAUUAAAAAUAAAAAACAAAGACGCCUGUGCAGCUCCGAAGGAGAAAUCCCGAAUCUCCCAUUGUCCUCUUCCAUUCUUCCUUUUUCUUUGAUGGCAUUUCCUCUGAAGGAAGAAGAAGAGGAGGUCGACUCCGGCACCGGCACUCCCGUCCGCUACCUUCCUCUUCGCCACGUCUAUUCCACUUCUGCGCCUUGCGUCAGUGCCAGUGGAUCGUCUAACGUCGUCACCAAGAAGGUCAAGGCCAGGAGGAUGAUCGCCGACGGCUUUGACGGCGACGGCGACGGCGGCGAUCAGAAGCCGUACCCGACGAAGCCUCCGGUCGUGCACGUGUACGCCCGGCGCCGCAAGAGGCCGCGCAAUUUGACAGCGGAGCGACCGGAGUCGGGGGCUUUGGUGGCUGUGAAGGAGGAGAGGUGUGAAUCGGAUGGUUGCGAAGGGGUUGGUGGUGGAGAUCGAGGCGUAGGGGUUUUGGGGAAGAAGAGGAGAAGUGCGAAUUUGGAGGUGAAAAACUUGGGCGAUAAUUCGAGGGGAGUGGGCAGUUCAGUACGGCGUCGUUUGAGGGAAGCCAGGACAGACAGCACUGUCGACCUUCCGCAUAGAAGAAAGCGCAAAUCUUCGGAGAAUUUGACGAAAGUCGACUCUAAUUCGGCUUGCAUUAAGCGGUGGCUUUGGUUGAAUUUUGAUGACGUUGAUCCUGAAAAAUUCAUAGGAUUACAAUGCAAGGUUUACUGGCCGUUGGAUGGUGAAUGGUACCGUGGUUGCAUUAUUGGGUAUGAUUUGGAGGCCAACCGGCAUCAGGUUAAAUACAAUGAUGGUGAUAAAGAAGAAUUGAUUCUCUCAAGUGAGAAAAUUAAAUUUUAUGUAUCUCGCGAGGAUAUGCAACAUUUGAACCUGAGUCUUAGUGUUAGAAGUCUGGAUAGUGAUGACAUUGAUUAUGAUGAGAUGGUUGUGUUGGCUGCAAGUUGGAAUGAUUGCCAAGACCACGAGCCUGGGGAUAUCAUAUGGGCCAAGCUUACUGGUCAUGCUAUGUGGCCAGCAAUUGUUGUGGAUGAGUCAAUUAUUCAUAAUCGUAAAGGUCUAAACAAAAUUUCAAAAGAGAAAUCACUUCCUGUGCAGUUUUUUGGUAGUCAUGAUUUUGCAAGGGUUAAAACUAAACAGGUUACCCCAUUUCUUAAGGGACUGCUUUCUUCUUUCCACCUGAAGUGCACAAAACCACAUUUCCAUCAAAGCUUGGUAGAAUCCAAAGCGUAUCUCAGCGAACAGAAGCUUUCAAAACGGAUGUUACGGAUGCAAAAGCUCACAGAGGAUGAUGAUUGUGAAAGUAUGAGUGGAGAGGAUGAAAAGAGAACUGAUUCAGGUGAUGAUUGCAUAGGAGAUGAAAGAGUAAAGAGAAAACUAGACGACCUUAUAAAAUUCCCAUUUGAAAUAGGGGAUUUGCAAGUAAUACGCCUUGGAAAAAUUGUCAAGGACUCAGAUCGUUUCCAGGUUGAGGGAUUCAUCUGCCCUGAAGGAUAUACUGCUAUGAGGAAGUUUACUUCAAUUACAGAUCCAAGCUUAUGCGCAUUAUAUAAAAUGGAAGUGCUGAGAGAUGCUGAAUCAAAGAUUCAACCCUUAUUUAGGGUGACAUUGGACAAUGGAGAGCAGUUCCAAGGAUCAACUCCAUCUUCUUGCUGGAAUAAAAUUUUUAGAAGGAUAAGAAAGAUGCAAAACAGUGCUUCUGAUGGUUCUAGUGCAGAAGGUGGAGCUGAAAAAUUAAAUGAAUCCGGUUUUGAUAUGUUUGGCUUUUCCAAUCCUGAGAUUUUCAGACUUGUACAGGAGUUGUCAACUUCCAAAAUUUCCUCAAAAUUCUCCACGUCCAAGUCAAUCUCUAGAAGAUAUCAAGACUUGUCUUCUGGUUACAGGCCUGUUCGUGUUGACUGGAAAGAUCUUGAUAAAUGCAGUGUUUGCCACAUGGAUGAGGAGUAUGAGAACAAUCUGUUUCUUCAGUGUGACAAAUGCAGAAUGAUGGUUCAUGCUAGAUGCUAUGGGGAAUUAGAACCUGUUGACGGGGUGCUAUGGUUAUGCAAAUUAUGUGGCCCAGGGGCUCCUGAUUCCCCCCCUCCUUGCUGCCUCUGUCCUGUUACCGGUGGGGCCAUGAAGCCUACAACUGAUGGACGCUGGGCUCAUCUGGCUUGUGCCAUCUGGAUACCUGAAACUUGCUUAUCCGAUAUCAAAACCAUGGAGCCCAUUGAUGGACUGAGUAGAAUCAAUAAGGACCGAUGGAAGCUUCUAUGCAGCAUUUGUGGUGUUUCUUAUGGGGCUUGCAUCCAAUGUUCAAACAGUACUUGUCGUGUAGCUUAUCACCCACUUUGUGCACGUGCUGCGGGCCUUUGUGUUGAACUUGAGGAUGAGGAUAGACUCCAUCUGAUUUCCGUAGAGGAUGAUGAGGAUGAUCAGUGCAUUCGACUACUUUCCUUCUGCAAGAAGCAUAGACAGCCAUCUAAUGAGCGUACAGCUUUUGAUGAACGGAUUGGGCAAGUGGCUCGUCAAUGUUCUGACUAUGACCCGCCUUCUAAUCCAUCAGGCUGUGCUCGCACUGAGCCUUAUAACCAUUUUGGGAGAAGAGGUCGGAAAGAACCUGAAGCCCUUGCUGCUGCAUCCUUGAAGCGGUUGUUUGUAGAUAAUAGGCCAUAUUUGGUUGGUGGUUACUGUCAACAUGAAUCCUUGGGGAAUCCAUUAUCUUCUAGUGCACUCUCAGGUUCUAAAUUUUCCUUCAGAAAUCAAAAAAUAAAAGCCUCUCAGCUUGAUGCUCCUAAGAGCAUACUCUCUAUGGUUGAGAAAUAUAAUUACAUGAGGGAGACCUUCAGAAAGAGACUGGCUUUUGGAAAAUCAGGAAUACAUGGAUUUGGCAUAUUUGCGAAGCAGCCACAUAGAGCGGGAGAUAUGGUUAUUGAAUAUACAGGCGAACUUGUUAGACCCUCAAUAGCUGACAGGAGAGAACGACUCAUAUACAAUUCAUUGGUGGGUGCAGGGACUUAUAUGUUCCGUAUUGAUGAUGAACGCGUCAUUGAUGCCACAAGGGCAGGAAGCAUAGCUCAUUUGAUUAAUCACUCAUGUGAACCAAAUUGCUAUUCGAGAGUUAUAAGUUUUAAUGGUGAUGACCAUAUAAUUAUUUUUGCGAAGAGGGAUAUUAAGAGAUGGGAAGAACUGACUUACGAUUACAGAUUUUUUUCAAUUGAUGAACAACUAGCAUGUUAUUGUGGCUUCCCAAGAUGCCGUGGUGUGGUCAAUGACAUUGAUGCAGAGGAGCGAAUGGCAAAGCGAUAUGCGCCUCGCGGUGAAUUGAUAGGUUGGAUAGGGGAAUGAGAGAAGUUCAUCAUCAUCAUUAUUUGCCAAUAUCAGAACCUUCCCUUUGAAGAUAGGUUGUUGUCUUACAACAAUCUUCUCAUCAUUGCCUGCCAUUUUCUCAAGGCAGAUUGGAAUGUUAAGCUCCAGAGUCAUCACCACCUCAUCUUGUACCAUAUCCGCUUUUGUCAGAUGGCACAAGACCUUGGGAUAAAGAGAAUGAUUGGUUCAUAGCAUGAGAAGGAUGGGUUGUAUUAUUUGGAUCUUGGUGAACCUUCUUCCUCAGUAUUGAGUGUUACCGCCCCUCUUUUUAAUGACAUUUUGCUUAGGUUAUCCAUCUUUGGUGAAGUUGCACUUAGUUAUACUCAUGUGGGGAUAUGUGUUUAGUUAGAAUGUGAAGAUUGUCCGUUAGAUUAGCCAUCCCACUAGCAGCAAGCAACCGUACACAAGAACUGUAACUGAGUAUGCUUAUGAUAUGGAAUGAGGAUGUCUAUGUGAGGAGGCUGUUAGGUCAUGAGAAGAGAAGUGUGAGUUGAGUUUAAUUUAGUUGUACAGAUUUUUGGCAUCCAAAUUCCAAUUGUUGUGCUUGUUCAACACUGAAAGGCCAGUUUGGCUUAUGUAGCUUAACCUCUUCAAAUUUAUACAAGAAUGUCUGCCAUCAUAUUUUC